GAAGUAGCCCUGUUCAGAAUGGGGCUCAAGGGAAGUGUACUGUUUGAUAGAGGCGCAUGACCUGAAAAGCACUCUCCACUUUGUUUUCCUCUGGUUUUGAAUGCAGUUUAUCCCGUCUUAAAUUUUAUCGAUUAUUUACGUAAAAAAAUACCUAAAGUUGUAUAUGAGGAAAGUUGUUUGAAAUGUUUGGACAAAGAUUACAGGUAACUUGAGAUAUUUUGUAGUCAUGUUGCGCGAGUUGGAACCGGUGUUUUUCUGGAUCAAACGCGCCAAAUAAAUGGACAUUUUGGAUAUAUAACGACGGAAUUAAUCGAACAAAGGACCAUUUGUGAUGUUUAUGGGACAUAUUGGAGUGCCAACAGAAGAAGCUCGUCAAAGUGCAGGUGAGCAGUCUGUCUGGAAUUGAAGAGCGCCUGAUCUAAAGACUGGAUCCCUCUCACUGAGCGCCGUCUCUGACAUAGCAAGGAGAUUUGGAAACUACGGAAGGCUAUAUUCAACCAUUGUGUGAGCAACCAUGCUGCAGCACCAGAGGCUAGAGGGGUUGUGUACAGGAAUCUCCAAAUGUUGAACGAGCACCUCGGAUGAAGGAUGGGGAGGAAAACAGACAGCUUCUUUCGACCACACCUUCGCAAAGUUCUGCCCACUCUGACUCUGGUCCCUGUCUCCAGUCCAACUUCUCGUCAAUCCUGGUACUCUGUCCUGGAUUCCCCACUCUACGCUCCCUUGGAUUCCCCUCUGGACCUGCUUACCUUGUCCCA
rnacentral:lncRNA from 1 species